UACGAAGGGGGCUAGCGUGUUCGGAAUCACUGGGCGUAAAGCGCUCGUAGGCGGAUCUUUAAGUCAGAGGUGAAAUCCCAAGGCUCAACCUUGGAACUGCCUUUGAUACUGGGGAUCUCGAGUCCGGAAGAGGAGAGUGGAAUUCCCGGUGUAGCGGAUGAAAUGCGCAGAUAUCGGGAAGAACACCCGUGGCGAAGGCGGCUCUCUGGGACGGUACUGACGCUGAGACGCGGAAAGCGUGGGGAGCGAACAGG
rnacentral:rRNA from 1 species